GAUGAACGCUAGCGGCAGGCCUAACACAUGCAAGUCGAGGGGGAGGUUACUUUCGGGUAACUGAGACCGGCGUACGGGUGCGUAACGCGUAUACAAUCUGCCUUUCACUGGGGGAUAGCCCGAAGAAAUUUGGAUUAAUACCCCAUAGUAUAGUAAUACGGCAUCGUGAUGCUAUUAAAGCUUAGGUGGUGAAAGAUGAGUAUGCGUUCUAUUAGCUAGUUGGAGAGGUAACGGCUCCCCAAGGCGAUGAUAGAUAGGGGUUCUGAGAGGGAUGUCCCCCACACUGGUACUGAGAUACGGACCAGACUCCUACGGGAGGCAGCAGUGAGGAAUAUUGGACAAUGGUCGGAUGACUGAUCCAGCCAUGCCGCGUGCAGGAUGAAGGUCUUAUGGAUUGUAAACUGCUUUUGUAAGGGAAGAAUAAGGGCUACGCGUAGUUUGAUGACGGUACCUUACGAAUAAGCAGCGGCUAACUCCGUG
rnacentral:rRNA from 1 species